ACUUUCUUGUUAGACACAACCCAACCCGCUGGUGUAACACCAAUGCGAGUUGAGCAGUCAUUUUAGGGACAGUAAAACACUUAAAAUGGGACAUAAAAAGGAUCCAAUACGACCCAUGCCCACAUCAUGUUCUAUAUUAAAGAGACCAAGCAGUGUUCAAUACACCACUACACCAACAUACCAGUUAACGAUGUGGUUCAAAGAGACAGCAUUAAGGUUUCAUCUAAUGUCAUGAGCAUGACACAAGACGAAAGGAACUGAUGCAAACCAAAUAGAUGCCUUAGUAGAGAGGCAGGAAAAAACACAAGAAACCCAGAAUUUGGUAAGGGCAUAGAAGCCUUAACAUAUGAAUGCAAGGUUUGACAGGUGGAAGUUGUUGCACGAGCAAAGAGCCAACCACCAAAAACAAACC
rnacentral:misc_RNA from 1 species